GAAACAUCUAAUGCUUCGCUUACGAUCUGCACGUACUGUGUUUUGCUAUUCUUUCAUUUUUGGAGAGUCACAGAGAAGUUCCGCCUAGACCAGCUUCUCGUGGACCAGCAUCGCCAGCUAAGUGAAGGCUGUGAGUCUGCAUCUCGGCCCAUCAAUCCUUCUCCUUAUUCCCAUGAUGAGUUCACCAGUGCGGUCCGGUCAGUCUGGUUGCUUUUUAAACUUUAAACAAAUUUAGUAUGAAAGAUGUUUUGUCUUGCUUCAAGUUAAACAAUUUAAAUUGUGAAACGACUUUUUUUUCCUGAUGAAGUUUGGUCAAUAUAAUGAAUUUUGAACUGUGUUCUAUAGCCCAUCCUCUAUUACAUAACCAGCUUGCAGUCCAGGCAAUUAAUUUCAUUUGCUUUGUUAUCUGAGCAGUAGACUUUAAUCUUCUGCUGCAAAUGUAACAUUUGGGGUGAAUUGUAUGAAGUUAUAAACAUUUAUUAAAUAUGACGUAGGCAUCUAAGUCUACAUCCAUAGUCUUCUGACCAAAUACCUGUCUGAAUGCUUUUUAAAUGGUGUCGUGGGCUUUGCACGUCAGCUUGUGAAUUUACUCCUCUUCCAUCUCUGUGACACACAGGAAGGAUAUUUUUCUUCCCCACCCUUCUUUGCUGCCACUCCUGUUUCCUAUAUACAUAUUUAAUUAUAAUCUCAACACCUGCUUCCUCUGAGCCAGUUAAUGUGUGGCUCAUGUAGUGUUGUGAUCAGCACAGCCAACACCCAUUUCUCCAGGAACAGGGUGUCACUUUUGGAACAAACACGAUCCAAAUCUUCAGAGUGAUGGAAUAGCUUCAGAUAUCACAUGUUAAACAUAGACAAAUUUAAAAAGAAUUUUCUGUUUGGAUCAUUAUGGG
rnacentral:lncRNA from 1 species